UACAGAGGGGGCAAGCGUUGUUCGGAAUUACUGGGCGUAAAGGGCGCGUAGGCGGCCUUCUAAGUCGAACGUGAAAUCCCCGGGCUCAACCCGGGAACUGCGUCCGAUACUGGAAGGCUUGAAUCCGGGAGAGGGAUGUGGAAUUCCAGGUGUAGCGGUGAAAUUCGUAGAUAUUCGGAGGAACACCAGUGGCGAAGGCGGCUCACUGGCUCGAUACUGACGCUGAGGUGCGAAAGCGUGGGGAGCAAACAGG
rnacentral:rRNA from 1 species